UUUCCCUCAACUUCUCAGGCGAUUUUUGCGAUUUUAUAGGGUUCCGCCGUCGAUGGCCAGUUCAGGCCAAUCCACGGCUGUUCUUCACCGGAUUUUUGAGGGCUUUUGUCCUCUAUCAUGUUUCCUCAUGAUUUCCAGGUUUAUUUUCGUAUAAUUCUCAUUUUGUGGUCUCGAAUUUGACUUGUUUAUUGGGAUGUUGCUCGGUUUCUUCGUGUAUGUGGUUGCCAUGGGCGGGGCCUCGAGCCCUUGGCCAACUUGUGUGCCACAUAUAACAAAUGAAGGACCUGGGCAAAAAUGGAGCAUACGUUUGGACCCGAGGUUACCCCGUUGCAUAAUAUCUCUAUUGGGCUUGGUCGGCCCAAUUUCUCUUCUAUUUAUUUAUGUAUUUAAGUUUCUUGCUUGUGUAUUUAUUUAUAAAAUUGGAACCCUUAAAAGAU